rnacentral:rRNA from 1 species
AUCGAACGCUGGCGGCGGGCCUAACACAUGCAAGUCGAACGAGUGGCGGACGGGUGAGUAAGGUCUGGGAAACUGCCUGAUGUAGGGGGAUAACUAGGGGAAACGGUAGCUAAUAGCGCAUACCAUCAGAUGUGCCCAGAUGGGUUUAGCUGGUUGGUGGGGUAAAGGCUCCCCAAGGCGACGAUCCCUAGCUGGUCUGAGAGGAUGACCAGCCACACUGGAACUGAGACACGGUCCAGACUCCUACGGGAGGCAGCAGUGGGGAAUAUUGCACAAUGGGCGCAAGCCUGAUGCAGCCAUGCCGCGUGUAUGAAGAAGGCCUUCGGGUUGUAAAGUACUUUAAGCGGGGAGGCGUUACCCGCAGAAGAAGCACCGGCUAACUCCGUGCCAGCAGCCGCGGUAAUAC